AGCUGAUCUGACUGCGACAUCUGUCACCCCAUUGAUCGCCAGGGUUGAUUCGGCUGAUCUGGCUGGCCAGGCAGGUGUCCCCUUCCUCCCUCACCGCUCCAUGUGCGUCCCUCCCGAAGCUGCGCGCUCGGUCGAAGAGGACGACCUUCCCGAAUAGAGGAGAACUGGUCUUUGGUCAAGGGUAUACGAGGAGCUGUGCUCCCCUGUAGAACCUCCAAAACAAGCUCUCAAGAUAACUUCUUUUUUUAAAAAAAACUAUAUUUAUUCAUUAGAGAGAGAAUGGGCACACCAGGACCUCUAGCCACCGCAAACUCCAGAUACAUGUGACACCAUGUGUAUCU
rnacentral:snRNA from 1 species